GACGAACGCUGGCGGCGUGCUUAACACAUGCAAGUCGAACGGAAAGGCCCUGCUUUUGUUGGGUUCUCGAUUGGCGAACGCGUGAGUAACACGUGAGUAACCUGCCCUUAACUUUGGGAUAACUUCACGAAACUCGGGCUAAUACCCGAUAGGAGCUCCUGCUGCAUGUUGGGGGUUGGAAAGUUUCGGCGGUUGGGGAUGGUCUCGCGGCUUAUCAGCUUGUUUGUGGGGUAGUGGCUUACCAAGGCUUUGACGGGUAGCCUGCCUGAGAGGGUGACCGGCGACAUUGGGACUGCGAUACGGCCCAGAAUCCUACGGGCGGCAGCAGUGGGGAAUAUUGCACAAUGGGCGGAAGCCUGAUGCAGAAACGCCGCGUGCGGGAUGACGGCCUUCGGGUUGUAAACCGAUUUCGACUGUGACGAAGCGUGAGUGACGGUAAUGGGUAAAGAAGCAACGGCUAACUACGUG
rnacentral:rRNA from 1 species